GCCGCGCUUCCCGCCGCAGCCAGGGCGCCGGGAGAGGCCCGAUUGCACGAUCGCAGGCGGUAGGGAGCCGCGGGGCCUCCGGCCAGAACUCCGCCGCGCCUUCGCGACUCGAGGCCCACCUCCUCGCUCCUGCUGGCGCGGCGGGCUAGGGCCGCACUGCGAGAGGGAAAGGAUAACUGUAAAAUCAGGCCGUCAUCAACAAGUAUAGUAAUAGGACAGAUGGUGUCUCUUCACUCUCAGCUUGAGGAUGAAGAUAUUACCAUCUCUACCCUCCUUGUUGGAUCUGGUUGGCUCCUCCUCCUGAUUUUUCUGUGAGAUCCCCCAGGGCUCUGACCUUAACAACCUCAUUCAUUGCCGGCUGU